UACAGAGGUCCCGAGCGUUGUUCGGAUUCAUUGGGCGUAAAGGGUGCGUAGGUGGCGCUGUAAGUGGGGUGUGAAAUCCCGGGGCUUAACCCCGGGACUGCAUUCCAUACUGCGGUGCUUGAGGACUGGAGAGGAGACUGGAAUUUACGGUGUAGCAGUGAAAUGCGUAGAGAUCGUAAGGAAGACCAGUGGCGAAGGCGGGUCUCUGGACAGUUACUGACACUGAGGCACGAAGGCCAGGGGAGCAAACGGG
rnacentral:rRNA from 1 species